UAGCCAUGUUGGCUCGCUCAA
rnacentral:sRNA from 1 species